UGGAGAGAUCCCUACUUGCGACAGAUCCUUGAUGUUCCACUGUGGUACUGUAUGCUUCCUGUUCCUUCAGCUCAACAGAGAUAAAAAUGCUGGAGAUGACUAGUACCAACAAGCAGCCUGUGCCUUGAACUGCUCAGUAAAUAGUGACAAAGGUUACCUGUAAGCCUCUGGAGAACCACGGAUUGUGGCUGUAAACCAAUGGGAUUUUGUCGAAUACCAUCACCAGGAGCCUCAGACAGCUGGAGAAGAAUCCCAACAACCUCAGACUGGCCGCUGAAUCAAAGGUGAAAAGCGAUUGUAUGAUGUCUGAUAUAUAUGAUCUAAAUCACAUACUCACAGAAUAUGCUCAGCUGGAAGGCACCCACAAGGAUAAUCGAGUCCAACUCUUCACCCUGCACAGGACCAUCCCCAAGAGUCACACCAUGUGCCUGAGAGCAUUGUCCAAACACUUCUUGAACUCUGUCAGGUUUGGUGCUGGGACCACUGCCCAGGAGAGCCUCUUUCAGUGCCCAGACACCAUCUGGAUGAAGAACCUUUUUCUAAUAUACAACCUAAACCUCCCCUGACACAACUUUAGGACAUUCCCUCAGGUCCUGUCAAUGAGAAAGGAUGUAACUAAGUGUUUCUAUUCUCUGCUGGUGGUCAUUAUUUGGGUAUGGUGUUCAUUCAGAAAGAAAAUGUCAGGGCAAAUAGUCAAACCUGGUGCAGCUGGCAAGAGCAAAUGUACACAUGCAAACUGGAAAGAAAUUUGAGAAUUAGUCUCUGGUUCAACACUGGCAAGUAUGUUUGGAAAGAGCGUCUGCCACAAAAAAACCCAAAGGGCUGCAAACAUGUGAAGGUCUUGUCAUGAUACAAGGCUGUAAAUAUGGAUCUGGAGAUAUAUUUUGUUUACAGCUUAACAGGAGAAAACUUAGCAGAUAUUUUUUCCUAUUUCCUUCUAUUCCACUGUUCGAAUUAUUUUUGUACUUUAUAGUUUUGGUAACAGAAAAAAAGGAACAUGAUAUUGCUAGAAGUUUUUGGGUGCAGGCUGAAUUGACUCAGUUGGAAGGAUGAAGGACAUAGAAAACAGAUUUAUAAGAGGUGCUUCCAUAGAGAAGUUACUUACUACAGAGAAAUAAUCCAGUAGAAAACACAUGAUUAUGGGUCAGAGGUUCUUAAUUAUACUUCUGGCUCUGUCAAUUACCUGCUAUAUGACUUUGAGUCACAUGAUUUCUUCAUUUUUCUCUAUCUAAACACACUACCUCCUUCUGUUGAGAUUUUACACUCAGUAUUUAAGCUUUCUCUUGGAAGCCUUCUUUGCAAUCGUGAUCUAAAGUGGACUCUCCUCUCAGUAUUAGUCCAAAAAAUUCUCUAGAAUUAAAAAUGUCUGAAACAUGGGAGAGGAGUGUACUGAUUUUAACUCUUUUUCCUACAUGGCAAAUUCUUAAUUAAUUUUUUCCCCUAGCUAAAAGCACAGUGUGUUUCCUCACCUUGUUACUUUAGAAUUUUCAAAACAGUUAAGGCACUAAAUGAUGAAGUAAAUUCUGUACAAUAUCACACCCUGUUUUCCCCACUCCCAUGUCCCCCAGAUCAGUGAGCAAUAUGUAAAAGCACAAAAAGACAACAGGCUCAUAUAAGAAUCCAUAGCAUAGCA